rnacentral:lncRNA from 1 species
GGCAGUCCAUUCACCUAUUUAUUGUUGAGCCUUUAGUUGACUCUAAUUCCCCUAAUGAUCCAAAUGGAAGGAUGGGACUUCAUUAGAACCUAGGAUCACAUUAGCAUAAACAAUAGGUCAAUUCACACACUAUGAACCCUAAAAGCUAUCUCUUAGCUAGCUUUCAAUUGCCACAUUAAAUGGCUAUCUAUGUUCACUAUCUUAAUCACUAAAAAGUAAUGAACAUACUCAAUAAUAAAACAGCUCUUAAUCUAAAUUACUAGUCAUUAGUCACAGCUAAAAACCGAAUUUAGUUCAUCACUCACCCUUGGGUUUCUUUGUAGUUGAAUUCUCUUCCAAUAACUUCCAAAUCAAUGGGGUAAUUCUCUUUUUCUCUCUCUAAAAUGCCCAGCUAGUGAGAGAAAGUCUGGAUAUAAGCUUUAUCAAUGGUUUUGAAGUGAGAGAGUGAAAGAAUUAAAGAGUUCUAGUCAAAA